CUUUCCCCGCACACCCGACGCCGAAACCUUUCUCCCCGCGCGUCCUUCUCUUCUUCCCCACGCGAACCCGUGCCCUAACUGCCUCUCCCCAACCGGCGACGCAAAAUCGCCAUUUCCCCUCGCCUCUCCUCCUCUUAUCUUCUCUGUGAGCCACUCUGUCCAAAUCCUUUUCGGCGCCGGAGCAAUUCUUCUCGGCCGGUGAAGCCUCGUGAGCCGAAGCAGUGGUGUCGCCACCCUUCUUUUCCGCGACGCUGGUGCCUCCUCUCGGCCCGUCCACCCCCGCCGGCCACCAGCGAAGAGGCGUGGGAUCUGUUCCACACCAGCCAUUUGGGUGAAGGGAUAGCUAUUGUCUUCACCAACUGUUGUCCGAUCUUCUUCUCUGUUCCGGCUCGGCACAUUGUGGCAUUUGGAUUUCACCAGAGGAAGCUUCAAACCUGUUUGGGCUUUAGCCAUUCUUAUUGAGGAUGAUCCACAGCUUCGGACAUAACUUCCAGCAGCAAGAUCUGUGUUUGUGAGUUGGCAGGAAGAUACUUAGAGUGAGUGAAGAAUUUCAGCAGCCAACAACCCUUGACGGCAGUAAUUCCAGCCAGCAACUCUUUGAUUCCAGUACAAACCAGUGGCUGUGAAUUUAGGACUUUGAUUCGAGAC